rnacentral:rRNA from 1 species
CCUACGGGAGGCAGCAGUAAGGAAUAUUGGACAAUGCUCGCAAGAGUGAUCCAGCCAUGCCGCGUGCAGGAAGAAUGCCCUAUGGGUAGUAAACUGCUUUUGAACUAGAGAAAAUCCCAGUACGUGUACUGGGCUGAUAGUAUAGUUAGAAUAAGCAUCGGCUAACUUCGUGCCAGCAGCCGCGGUAAGACGAAGGAUGCAAGCGUUAUCCGGAUUCAUUGGGUUUAAAGGGAGCGUAGGUGGACUGAUAAGUCAGUGGUGAAAUCUCCGAGCUUAACUCGGAAAUUGCCAUUGAUACUGUUGGUCUUGAGUACAGUUGCUGUGGGCGGAAUAUGACAUGUAGUGGUGAAAUACAUAGAGAUGUCAUAGAACACCGAUUGCGAAGGCAGCUCACAAAGCUGUAACUGACACUGAGGCUCGAAAGUGCGGGGAUCAAACAGGAUUAGAUACCCUGGUAGUCCGCACCGUAAACGAUGAUUACUCGCUGCUAGGGGGCAACCUUUAGUGGCUUAGCGAAAGCGAUAAGUAAUCCACCUGGGAGUACGCCGGCAACGGUGAAACGUUAAAGGAAGUUGACGG